CGUUAACUGUUUUAAUCUGAUUUGAAACACCAAGCAUAGAAAAAUAGUGCAGGUGUAAGACCCCCUUUCGGGGACCCCCACUCUAGUCUCGGGAGUGUGAGAGCACCCAAAGAAACACGAGGACCC
rnacentral:pre_miRNA from 7 species